rnacentral:lncRNA from 1 species
UUUUAAACCUCAAGUAUAUAUUUAGGCCACCUCUACCCUUUUACCCUCUGUAAUAUGCAAUAUAGAUAUGUUUUAAUUUAAUUUUAGAAACACAGAAAAAUCAGAUAAGUUUUAGAAACUAUAUGUAACUGUCAAAAAUGUGUUCAAGAAAUAGAAAAGGAAAGAAAGAAAAGCACAUUCAAGAACAUUAUCUUUAAAGAAAAUGAGGUUCUCAAGUAAAUAACAUAAGGAUAAGUUUAUUGUAUGUUAGCUAUGGCAAACAAAGAUCAGAAUGAAAGAAGUCUGAUUAAUUAGUUUCCAGUCUCAUACCUGUUCAAGCUCUUAUGAUGAAAUUGCAAAAAGGUGCUCCUCUUGUUGCCCUUCCUCUGUAAAUGCUGCAAAAGGCUCUUUCUCUUUAUAAUACUGUUGUUUUUCCAAGAAAGAGCCUUCUUUCUUCUCUCUUCUAUACUUAUGUCUUCUUUGAUCAGCAAAACCUUUGUGUUCUUACAGAAACAAAGCUGCAACUCCUCCCUGAUCUAUGCUCUGAAAUCAACAACAAUUCUGAAGUACGUAAUGCAUUAAUUCAAAGCAUAUGACUUUUUCGAACUUGAACCGGAAGUUAAUUUACUUUAAUCCUAUAUUUAGCUGUAGUUCUUUCUAUAUUUAGCAUAGUUCUUGACCUUAACAAACUCUCCACCAUUUAUGAUCUGUCUAACCAGCACAUCUACAUGUAAUAUAUUCAGAUCUUGUAUUUAUUUUCUCAUGUUUUAAUUAAUGAUUUAUUAAUGCAAGGUUUACUUACUGGUCUGUAUGACUAACUACUGAUGGCAAUCUUUUCUUGUUGAACAAACAGCUGUUUAUCUUAUUUCACCACCCCUGUUCUCCCUCUGUUAUCAUUGGCACUUUCAACCCCCAAAGGUCAUCUUUAAAAUCCAUGUCAGACAAGGGGUUUACGAACAUUCUAUCUAAGAUGGCCUCCCUCUCUGUUUUUCAUCUUCUGUAAUCAUAUACAUGAAUAAAUGCC